GACGAACGCUGGCGGCGUGCUUAACACAUGCAAGUCGAACGAAGUGGCGAACGGGUGAGUAACGCGUAAUCAACCGGCCCUUCAGAGGGGGACAACAGUUGGAAACGACGGCUAAUACCGAAUACUGAAGGAGGGGAUGGCGUGUGAUUAGCUAGUUGGAGGGGUAACGGCCCACCAAGGCGAUGAGCAGUAGCCGGGCUGAGAGGAUGAACGGCCCAAUUGGGACUGAGGCACGGCCCCGACUCCUACGGGAGGCAGGAGUUGGGAAUUUGCCGCAAUGGACGAAAGUCUUACGGAGCCACGCCCCGUUAGUGAUGACGGCCUUCGGGUUGUAAAGCUCUGUUAAUCGGGACGCGGUACCGGCAUAGAAAGCCACGGCUAACUACGUGCCAGCAGCCGCGGUAAUAC
rnacentral:rRNA from 1 species